GUGUCAGCAGCCGCGGUAAUACAGAGGUCCCGAGCGUUGUUCGGAUUCACUGGGCGUAAAGGGUGCGUAGGUGGUGGCGCAAGUCCGGUGUGAAAUCUCCGGGCUCAACCCGGAAAAGUCAUCGGAAACUGCGUCGCUAGAGGGUUGGAGAGGGGACUGGAAUUCUCGGUGUAGCAGUGAAAUGCGUAGAUAUCGAGAGGAACACCAGUGGCGAAGGCGAGUCCCUGGACAACUCCUGACACUGAGGCACGAAAGCUGGGGGAGCAAACAGGAUUAGAUACCCUGGUAGUCCCAGCCCUAAACGGUGCACAUUUGCUGUGGGCGGAUUACACCCCGUCCGUGGCGUAGCUAACGCGUUAAAUGUGCCGCCUGGGGAGUACGGCCGCAAGGCUAAAACUCAAAGGAAUUGACGGGG
rnacentral:rRNA from 1 species